GCUUAACACAUCGCAAGUCGCACGGUCAGCAAUGGCAGUGGCGGACGGGUAGGUCAACACGUAGGAAUCUAUCUCUGGGUGGGGGACAACCGUGGGAAACUACGGCUAAUACCGCAUGAUACCUGAGGGUCAAAGGCGUAAGUCGCCUGGAGAGGAGCCUGCGUCUGAUUAGCUUGUUGGUGGGGUAAAGGCUUACCAAGGCGACGAUCAGUAGCUGGUCUGAGAGGAUGAUCAGCCACAUUGGGACUGAGACACGGCCCAAACUCCUACGGGAGGCAGCAGUGGGGAAUAUUGGACAAUGGGGGCAACCCUGAUCCAGCAAUGCCGCGUGUGUGAAGAAGGUCUUCGGACUGUAAAGCACUUUUGGCAGGGACGAUGAUGACGGUACCUGCAGAAUAAGCCCCGGCUAACUUCGUGCCAGCAGCCGCGGUAAUACGAAGGGGGCUAGCGUUGCUCGGAAUGACUGGGCGUAAAGGGCGCGUAGGCGGCACAUACAGUCAGAUGUGAAAUUCCUGGGCUCACCUGGGACUGCAUUUGAUACUGUGAGCUAGAGUGGAGAGAGGUUGUGGAAUUCAGUGUAAGGUGAAUUCGUAGAUUUGGAAAGA
rnacentral:rRNA from 1 species